GACGAACGCUGGCGGCGGGCCUAACACAUGCAAGUCGCAGGAGAACCGGGUCUUCGGACCCGGGGAGACUGGCGGAUGGGUGAGUAACGCGUAGACAACCUGCCCAUAACCAGGGGAUAA
rnacentral:rRNA from 1 species